ACUCAAAUGAAUUGACGGGGACCCGCACAAGCAGUGGAGUAUGUGGUUUAAUUCGAUGCAACGCGAAGAACCUUACCCAGACUUGACAUACAGAGGACAGCGCUGGAAACAGCGUCUCCCUUCGGGGCCUCUGAACAGGUGCUGCAUGGCUGUCGUCAGCUCGUGCCGUGAGGUGUUGGGUUAAGUCCCGCAACGAGCGCAACCCUUAUCAUUAGUUGCCAACACUUAGGGUGGGAACUCUAAUGAGACUGCCUGGGUUAACCAGGAGGAAGGUGAGGAUGACGUCAAGUCCGCAUGGCCCUUAUGUCUGGGGCAACACACGUACUACAAUGGCCGGUACAGAAGGCAGCGAAACCGCGAGGUGGAGCAAAUCCCAAAAGCCGGCCUCAGUUCAGAUUGUAGUCUGCAACUCGGCUACAUGAAGAUGGAAUUGCUAGUAAUGGCGGGUCAGCACACCGCCGUGAAUACGUUCCCGGGUCUUGUACACACCGCCCGU
rnacentral:rRNA from 1 species